UCUGUCAUAUUCUCAGAGGUGCAGUUACUGCACCCUGCCCCUUCCUCCCAGGGUUCUGGACCUUUCCUCCUGUAAGAAGCUGAGGGCUGCAAUCAUGGGUUUGGAUCAGGACAUAGUAGGCUCAGAGACCAAACACUUGGCACCUGAAAUGACAACAGGGUUUGAAGCAGAAGCAUCCACACCCCCUGGCCCCGGUCCACACCCGGGACAGAUGGAGUGGCCUUGGAGGAUGAACCCACCUGACCGAGGUGAAGGCAGCUGAGUGGGGCAUGGUCCCACCGAGGCCCUGCAGAAGGUGAGGGGAAGGCAGCAUGAUGCGUCGCAAGUGAGCCACGAUCAAGAGGGUCACUGAUGGGAGUUUUGCACGUGGCUCUGCCCUUUACUGGCUAAAAUGCUGGGCAUGUUCCUAACCUCUCCCUCUGCUUCCUCAUCAUAAAACGGUUAUGCUAAUGUACUUGGGAAAGCACAAUUUCAAAGCUCGAAUAAGUUAAUAUUGAAAAGAUCUCAGAACACUGCCUGACAUGGAAUAAAUGCUAUUGAAAUGUUUGUUCCUCCUGUCUCUUCCAAUGCUUUCAAAAUGUAUUUAAUUUAAAGAUUAUUCUAUUAAAUAUGGCAUGUGCUACUUUACAAGACAAAGCAAAACAUACUAUCUAAGAAAAUAAAUUCAAACGCGGUUUCUCAAUCGUGUGGUUUGUGGGUGCCAAGAACACGCAUAACAGAAAUUCUUAAGCUAAACCAAUUUUCCAGAGAAUUUGAUUAAGUCUUGUCAUUUCAAUGCUAAAAGGAAAAUUAGAGUAGUGAUUACUGGCUUCAAGACUGGUGAAAGUUAAGAUUCUGUGUGUGUAUCUAUAUGUUUAUAAAAAUUCCAGAAAAUUAAGUUUCUCUAAGUGGGAGAGGUUUAUGUGCACAUGGGCUGCCAUCUAGUGGCAGUAAAGUCAUAUUCCAUUAACUGAGAUCCUGCACUUGGGAAUUCAGGCAAAGCCUCGGGAAAAAAUUG
rnacentral:lncRNA from 1 species